rnacentral:rRNA from 1 species
UAGGGAAUCUUCGGCAAUGGACGAAAGUCUGACCGAGCAACGCCGCGUGAGUGAAGAAGGUUUUCGGAUCGUAAAACUCUGUUGUUAGAGAAGAACAAGGACGUUAGUAACUGAACGUCCCCUGACGGUAUCUAACCAGAAAGCCACGGCUAACUACGUGCCAGCAGCCGCGGUAAUACGUAGGUGGCAAGCGUUGUCCGGAUUUAUUGGGCGUAAAGCGAGCGCAGGCGGUUUCUUAAGUCUGAUGUGAAAGCCCCCGGCUCAACCGGGGAGGGUCAUUGGAAACUGGGAGACUUGAGUGCAGAAGAGGAGAGUGGAAGUCCAUGUGUAGCGGUGAAAUGCGUAGAUAUAUGGAGGAACACCAGUGGCGAAGGCGGCUCUCUGGUCUGUAACUGACGCUGUGGCUCGAAAGCGUGGGGAGCAAACAGG